AACCUCUUCGGGGGAUAUCCCAUGUACUUGGUCUGUAUCUUUGUUUGAGAUGGAAGCUCUCUGCUUGAAUACUGCUUUACUGCUUUGAGGGAUGGCUCAAAUCCUCUUCUCUUUUUCUUCUUCAACUUCUUGCAGGUUCAAAAGUUGGCCAAGCUGCUCUUGUCUUUUAUUUCCAGAGGGGAUCUGACACAGCACCUUUGGAAGCUCACCCAUGAACCAUUGCGACCCUUUGCUCCAAGGGGUACCAUACUUACAAGGAAUACUUUUUUCAUUAACGUGACAGAAAGACUGAGAAAAGACAGCUUAAAGAAGAAAGUUUUGCUUUGACUCAUGCUUCUGAAAUCAAGGUGUGGCUGUUGGCUAUGUUUUCCCCAGACCUGAGGUGAAUCAGAAUAACAAGGUUCAAGAGUAUGGCAGUUGAGCAUGGUGUCCAGGCAGCAGAGAAAGAAAGAGUGAUGACAGCUAGGCCAGUUUUGUCACUUGAGAGUGGAUCUGUCAUAUACCUUUGAGUGAACAUAAGAAUCAUGGAGACAGCCAACAAUACAGAUGGAGAAGUGUCUUCUGCUAUAGGAAUUUAACACUUAUCAAUGAAAUCAUCUGAGAAGGGUAAAAAUGAAUUAUUGCCCAGAAGAAGUUGGCCUACGGACAUGUCUGCUGGAGGAUAAUCCUGAUUAUAUUCAUUGCUGUGGGAGGACCCACUUACUGCCCACGUUUUUUUUUCUGGAAGAAUGAUGAUCCCUUCAGAGGUGCUAGUAAAGGCCUGCUGUGUGCUUAACGAUGAAAGAGACCCUUGUGAAAACUUGACAUGAACUUCAGUUCUUGGAUAGAUGACGCAGCAACUCCGUUUCAACAGUCCCUUCCGCUCUAAACAUAUGGGAAUGGCAGGUAACAUAUAAAACUGAUAUGGUUGAGCUCAGAUGCAAAAUGCACUGCUCUAUGUGGAGAAAGAACCCCUGUUCAGAGCCAGGGCAGCCAGGCAAUCAGAGUUCAUGUCCAGACACAAACAAUAAAGGAGCCAAGAGCUCGAUUCCUGCCAAGGAGAAAAUCAAAAAUACUCUGUCUGCCACUUGGGAGCUGAAGCCUCCUUUCUCAGUGAAUCCUGAAUCCUCGCUAUAUGGAAAAAAGCCAACAAGAGGCCUCUGCCAAUGUUAAGGCUCAUGGAGAGAUGCGGGCUGAUGGGAUGCUAAAAUAUGUCAGGCCUUGAACUGGGCCAGCCCUGGGGCUGUAUUUGUACCUUCCCUCAUCUUGAUAGAGAUAAAAAAUUAAUUAUUAAAUGAGAAGUUUUGGAUAGAGCUCUCAAAGGAAGUUUGAGAGAAUGAAAAGAUAAAAUGGAAACAAAAAAAUAAAAAGAAAGAAGACAAAAAUAGAACAACCUUCCUUCCUCCACACAGACUGUACAAGUCGGUGCCGUGCGCACCCACCGACCACAUUGCGCAUUUCCAAGGCACAUUUCCACUCGGGAAAGUUUGCAAGUAUGAAUGAGAAAGAAGUCGAAGGUAACUCUGAGAUCGGCAAGACUGUGUUUGUACAACAGGACUGCAAGCAAAAAGAGACUUCAAAUGACCAUAAAUGUCUGGUCAGCGCCUUGCUCAGCCAUCUUCAGAGACAUUUUCUCCUGCAGUAGCUGAGAACAAAUACACAGACCCACACUAGACGUUAGGCAAAGAGUGAGAGACCCGGAACCCUCAGCCAACAGGGGAGGUCUCCAUCAGUUCCCUCAGUUGAGGAUCAUGGAACCCCAAGGAAGAGGAGGCAGAAACAAAUAAGAGCCAAAGAGAACGGAGGACACCAAAGAGACGAAGUCCUCUAAAUCCGCUGAGCAAAGCUCAUAUGAAAUUACAGAGAGCAAAGAAGCACACACGGGUCUGGGUUCCACAGCGGGUCUUCUGUGGAUGCGAUGGCUUCCAGUCCAGUAUUGUUCCGGGAUCCCUGAGUGUGAAUGAGUGGGUCUCUGAAUCUUGUGUCUGCUCGUGGGCUCUUUCCCCACCGUUCAUUGGUCUUGAUCCACUCCGAUAUUUAGUUUUCAUUUUAAUAUGUAAUAUUAAUUACAUUUAUUAAUUAUCUUGUGAUCCCUUGAAAACCUGUUUGUUUACUAGUGCGAGGCAGGACGGGAGUAAUACGGAUGGGAGAGGAGGUGGGAAGGAAUUGGUAGGUGCGGAGGAAGGGAAAACCAUAACUGCAAUAUAUUAUGUUAGAAAAAAACUAUUUUAC
rnacentral:sRNA from 1 species